rnacentral:rRNA from 1 species
UACGGAGGGGGCUAGCGUUGUUCGGAAUUACUGGGCGUAAAGCGCGCGUAGGCGGCUCUGCAAGUCGGGGGUGAAAUCCCGAGGCUCAACCUCGGAACUGCCUUCGAUACUGCGGGUCUCGAGUCCGGGAGAGGUGAGUGGAAUUCCUAGUGUAGAGGUGAAAUUCGUAGAUAUGAGGAAGAACACCAGUGGCGAAGGCGGCUCACUGGCCCGGUACUGACGCUGAGGCGCGAAAGCGUGGGUAGCAAACAGG